rnacentral:rRNA from 2 species
UGGGGAAUCUUAGACAAUGGGCGCAAGCCUGAUCUAGCCAUGCCGCGUGAGUGAUGAAGGCCUUAGGGUCGUAAAGCUCUUUCGCCUGUGAUGAUAAUGACAGUAGCAGGUAAAGAAACCCCGGCUAACUCCGUGCCAGCAGCCGCGGUAAUACGGAGGGGGUUAGCGUUGUUCGGAAUUACUGGGCGUAAAGCGCACGUAGGCGGAUUGGAAAGUUGGGGGUGAAAUCCCGGGGCUCAACCCCGGAACUGCCUCCAAAACUAUCAGUCUAGAGUUCGAGAGAGGUGAGUGGAAUUCCAAGUGUAGAGGUGAAAUUCGUAGAUAUUUGGAGGAACACCAGUGGCGAAGGCGGCUCACUGGCUCGAUACUGACGCUGAGGUGCGAAAGUGUGGGGAGCAAACAGGAUUAGAUACCCUGGUAGUCCACACCGUAAACGAUGAAUGCCAGUCGUCGGGCAGUAUACUGUUCGGUGACACACCUAACGGAUUAAGCAUUCCGCCUGGGGAGUACGGUCGCAAGAUUA